rnacentral:rRNA from 1 species
ACAAGCGGUGAGUGCUUUGGGGUGGGGUGACUGCGUACCUUUUGUAUAAUGGGUCAGCGACUUAUAUUCUGUAGCAAGGUUAACCGUAUAGGGGAGCCGCAGGGAAACCGAGUCUUAACCGGGCGUUAAGUUGCAGGGUAUAGACCCGAAACCCGGUGAUCUAGCCAUGGGCAGGUUGAAGGUUGGGUAACACUAACUGGAGGACCGAACCGACUAAUGUUGAAAAAUUAGCGGAUGACCUGUGGCUGGGGGUGAAAGGCCAAUCAAACCGGGAGAUAGCUGGUUCUCCCCGAAAGCUAUUUAGGUAGCGCCUCGUGAAUUCAUCUCCGGGGGUAGAGCACUGUUUCGGCUAGGGGGCCAUCCCGGCUUACCAACCCGAUGCAAACUGCGAAUACCGGAGAAUGUUAUCACGGGAGACACACGGCGGGUGCUAACGUCCGUCGUGAAGAGGGAAACAACCCAGACCGCCAGCUAAGGUCCCAAAGUCAUGGUUAAGUGGGAAACGAUGUGGGAAGGCCCAGACAGCCAGGAUGUUGGCUUAGAAGCAGCCAUCAUUUAAAGAAAGCGUAAUAGCUCACUGGUCGAGUCGGCCUGCGCGGAAGAUGUAACGGGGCUAAACCAU